UACGAAGGGGGCUAGCGUUGCUCGGAAUCACUGGGCGUAAAGGGUGCGUAGGCGGGUCUUUUAAGUCAGGGGUGAAAUCCUGGAGCUCAACUCCAGAACUGCCUUGAUACUGAGGAUCUUGAGUACGGGAGAGGUGAGUGGAACUGCGAGUGUAGAGGUGAAAUUCGUAGAUAUUCGCAAGAACACCAGUGGCGAAGGCGGCUCACUGGCCCGUAACUGACGCUGAGGCACGAAAGCGUGGGGAGCAAACAGG
rnacentral:rRNA from 1 species